GAUGAACGCUGGCGGCGUGCCUAAUACAUGCAAGUCGAGCGAACAGACGAGGAGCUUGCUCCUCUGACGUUAGCGGCGGACGGGUGAGUAACACGUGGAUAUCCUACCUAUAAGACUGGGAUAACUUCGGGAAACCGGAGCUAAUACCGGAUAAUAUAUUGAACCGCAUGGUUCAAUAGUGAAAGACGGUUUUGCUGUCACUUAUAGAUGGAUCCGCGCCGCAUUAGCUAGUUGGUAAGGUAACGGCUUACCAAGGCGACGAUGCGUAGCCGACCUGAGAGGGUGAUCGGCCACACUGGAACUGAGACACGGUCCAGACUCCUACGGGAGGCAGCAGUAGGGAAUCUUCCGCGAUGGGCGAAAGCCUGACGGAGCAACGCCGCGUGAGUGAUGAAGGUCUUCGGAUCGUAAAACUCUGUUAUUAGGGAAGAACAAAUGUGUAAGUAACUAUGCACGUCUUGACGGUACCUAAUCAGAAAGCCACGGCUAACUACGUG
rnacentral:rRNA from 1 species